AAAAAAGCAGGGUUUUGUUACCUCUUGUGGAUAGGGCUCUCGUAAACUUCUCAGGGUAACUAGGUGCAUUGUUAUUGGGUGAACCUCUGUAGAUAUAGUAUAGUUACUUAUGGUUCAGUAAAUGAUGCUGCAUUA